AGGAAAAAAACAGGAAGAGAGUGAGUUGUGUGUGGGUGUGUGUGUGUAGAAAGGACCAGAGACAGGGAAGGCAAUAUCAACAGAACUAAACAAAAGAAGAAGAAAUUAUUGGAUUAUCUGUCACAAGGAGAAAAAGAGAGAACUGACAUUCCCAUAAGAAAAGCAGAAUUUCUAAGAAUAACCUUUAUUUAACCUUGGGUACAAUGUGGCACUCUGUCAUUGUGCACUGUUUAUCAUGGGUUUAUUCUGGAUUUUUGUUGAUUAUCAUUGGGGCUGUCGUUGCUUUCCUUGCUUACUGUGCCUACAUUAAGUAUAUGCACCUGAAGUAUGAUGAUAUUCCUGGCCCCCCAAGAGACAGCUUCCUGCUGGGGCACAUCCCCACCUUAAGCAAAGCAGAAGAGAACUACAGUGUAGUGCAUGACUUGUUUUUACACUGGGCAGAAAUAUAUGGCCCAGUUUUCAAAGUUAACAUAUUGCACCGAGUCAUGAUAUUUUCUACCAGCCCAGAGUCUGUUAAGGAAUGCCUCAUGUCAUCAAAAUACCCUAAGGAUCCCUAUACCUACAACCAGCUAUUUAAUUUGUUUGGAAAGAGAUUCCUGGGAAAGGGUUUAUUAACUGAUCCAGACCAUGAUCACUGGUACCAUCAGCGUCGUAUUAUGGAUCCCGCAUUCAGUAACACAUACCUUAAGGAGAUGAUUGGAAUUUUUAAUGAAAGAGCUGAACAAAUGAUGGAAAAAUUAGAAGAGAAAGCAGACAGCCACCAAGAAGUCUCCAUGCACAGCAUCAUCAACCGUGUUACUUUGGAUGUCAUUACUAAGGUAGCAUUUGGGAUGGACCUUGGAUUAGUAGAAGGAAACAAGACUAAUUUUCCUAGUGCAAUCUCUAAGGUACUUACAGGCAUGAUGCAGUAUAUUCGGAACCCAUAUAUGCAGUACUUUCCACAGCACUGGGCCUUUGUUCGAGAGGUGCAGGAAAGUGCAGACUUGCUGCGAAAAACAGGCAAGGAAUGUAUCAGUCAGCGCAAAAAAGCAAUGCAAAAUGGAGAAGAGCUUCCCAAAGACAUCCUGACCAAGAUUCUGCAGUGUGCUGAGCUGGAAAAUGCUUUGGAUGAUGAGAUCAUGCUGGAUAACUUCAUCACAUUCUUCAUAGCUGGACAGGAAACAACUGCCAACCAGUUAUCAUUUACUGUUAUGGAGCUCACCAGGCAGCCCGAAAUAAUCACAAAGCUACGUAUGGAGGUGGAUGAGGUCAUUGGCUUCAAACGGGACAUUAGUUAUGAUGAUAUACAAAAUCUCAAUUAUAUGACCCAGGUUCUGAAAGAAUCUUUACGAUUUUACCCACCCGGACCAGGAACCUCUCGGUAUAUUAAGGAAGAUACAAUUUUUGAAGGCAUCAAGAUUCCUGGAGGGGUGCCCAUUACUUUUAACACAUAUGUCAUGGGAAGGAUGGAGAAGUUCUUUCAAGACCCAUUUAAAUUUGACCCGGAGAGAUUCCAUCCAGCGGCUGUAAAACCAUACUUCUGCUAUUUCCCAUUUGCAUUAGGCCCUCGGUCCUGUCUGGGGCAGAUAUUUUCCCAACUGGAGGCAAAGGUCAUUCUAAGCAAACUGAUACAGAGAUUUGAGUUUGAGCUAGUUCCAGGACAAUCUUUUGAAAUAAAGGACACAGGAACUCUGAGACCCCGUGAUGGAGUUGUCUGCACUCUGAAGUCCAGGGCUUGAUCCAAGUUAAACAUGACAACAUACUGGAGUAAAGCUGAUGAUCCUGAUAUACCAGAUUUGAACAACUCAACCUUUGUAUGAAUCAGUGUGUAACACGGUAGAACCUUUGGAUCUGCUUUCUGUUAGGUCUGUGCUGACAUUUUUUUAGGAUGAUAUUUAGAGGAAUAUCUUACUCUCUGUCUACCUAAACCUUGUUAUUAAAGUGCCCACAAAUAAAUAUGAUGAGUAAGCAGAAGCAGAGGAACUGUCACUGCUAAAAUCAUGCACCUACUAUAAAUUGUAGGCUAUGUUUAAUAAUAUUUCUUCACAAAUAUGUUUAUUUUUUUAUAGUUUGUUGAUGCAUAGCAGAUAAAUUCCCCUGCUGUAAUUUACAAGGAACAUUAUUACAAAGUGACCAUAAAGAAGCAGAAAAAGCAGGCUUCCUUUUCAGACAUAACAUCAAAUGCCCUUCCCUGAAAAAACUUCUCUUUCAUAUUAUGCCUACGCCAGCCAUGCAACAGUUCAUUCAUGCUUAAAUAAUUCCUACUUAGUUUCUAGAUGAACCUGAGGCUUCUUCUUAAAGGGGAAAACAAAAACUUUUCCUAACUCCAAAAUUUAUUGAAAGGGUAGCAACUUUUCUGGGGCAUGCCCCUUCAUCAGACAUAUACAACUAUGUUCUAAUGCAGAUUCCCCUGCCACAAUUAAGAAGGUGUAUACCUUUUGGGCGGCCAAAACAUGGAAUGCUAUGGAUAUUUUGUUGAUGUUUGUCCUGGAUUCCUGGCCACAAAGGGUCAGACUUAGAAUGACACUAUUUUAUUAAGUGUAUCUGUUACCCAGAGCACUUGGGACUGGGUGUUGGAGAUUUGACAGUUGUUUAGAUUUCCUGUGUGUCAAGUCCUUAGCGGUCCAGGAAAUAACGUGCUUUUAUUCCCAACCUAAAAUAACUAUGUAGCUAGUUUACUGUUAUAUAACACAAAUAAAUUGCAAAGGUUUUAUCAACCUGUGCAAAAAAGAAAAUCCUUCCUUAAUAACAUAGAAAUCACACACAUGUCCUAUGGAGUUACAUAAAAAGCCCAUCCACCGUGUUUAUUUCUGGGCUUAGUUGAUCUUUAUUUCACAUGAAAUGUAUUUCCCAAGAGCUGUGGGUUGUUCACCACUGAGUGGCAGCACUGCUACAUCACUAAGCCAAAAUAAAUCAUAAGCUGUUUAAAAAA